AGAGGGAUAACCAUUGGAAACGAUGGCUAAUACCUCGUAUUGCUGAGAAGUGAAAGAUGAAAAUCGCCAAUAGAUGGGCUUGCGGCUGAUUAGCUUGUUGGUGAGGUAAUGGCUUACCAAGGCAAUGAUCAGUAGCUGGUCUGAGAGGAUGAUCAGCCACACUGGGACUGAGACACGGCCCAGACUCCUACGGGAGGCAGCAGUGAGGAAUUUUCCGCAAUGGGCGACAGCCUGACGGAGCAAUGCCGCGUGAAGGAUGAAGGCCUAUGGGUUGUAAACUUCUUUUCUCAGAGAAGAAGCAUUGACGGUAUCUGAGGAAUAAGCAUCGGCUAACUCUGUGCCAGCAGCCGCGGUAAGACAGAGGAUGCAAGCGUUAUCCGGAAUGAUUGGGCGUAAAGCGUCUGUAGGUGGCUUAAAAAGUCUCCUGUCAAAGAUCAGGGCUUAACCCUGGGCCGGCAGGAGAAACUCUUAGGCUAGAGUUUGGUAGGGGCAGAGGGAAUUCCCGGUGGAGCGGUGAAAUGCGUAGAGAUCGGGAGGAACACCAAAGGCGAAAGCACUCUGCUGGGCCAUAACUGACA
rnacentral:rRNA from 1 species